rnacentral:rRNA from 1 species
CCUACGGGAGGCAGCAGUGGGGAAUAUUGGGCAAUGGAGGAAACCCUGACCCAGCAACGCCGCGUGAAUGAUGAAGGCUUUCGGAUUGUAAAGUUCUUUUCUAAGGGACGAAGCAAGUGACGGUACCUUAGGAAUAAGCCUCGGCUAACUACGUGCCAGCAGCCGCGGUAAUACGUAGGAGGCGAGCGUUAUCCGGAUUUACUGGGUGUAAAGCGCGCGUAGGCGGUAUUGCAAGUCAGUUGCGAAACUCCCGGGCUCAACCUGUGAACUGCUACUGAAACUGUUGGACUUGAGUGCAGGAGAGGCAAACGGAAUUCCUAGUGUAGCGGUGGAAUGCGUAGAUAUUAGGAGGAACACCAGUGGCGAAGGCGGGUUGCUGGACUGCAACUGACGCUGAGGCACGAAAGCGUGGGGAGCAAACAGGAUUAGAUACCCGAGUAGUC